rnacentral:rRNA from 2 species
UGCCCUAGUAACGGCGAGUGAAGCGGCAACAGCUCAAAUUUGAAAUCUGGCUCUCGGGCCCGAGUUGUAAUUUGUAGAGGAUACUUUUGAUGCGGUGCCUUCCGAGUUCCCUGGAACGGGACGCCAUAGAGGGUGAGAGCCCCGUCUGGUUGGAUGCCAAAUCUCUGUAAAGUUCCUUCGACGAGUCGAGUAGUUUGGGAAUGCUGCUCUAAAUGGGAGGUAUAUGUCUUCUAAAGCUAAAUACCGGCCAGAGACCGAUAGCGCACAAGUAGAGUGAUCGAAAGAUGAAAAGCACUUUGAAAAGAGAGUUAAAAAGUACGUGAAAUUGUUGAAAGGGAAGCGUUUAUGACCAGACUUGGGCUUGGUUAAUCAUCUGGGGUUCUCCCCAGUGCACUUUUCCAGUCCAGGCCAGCAUCAGUUUUCGCCGGGGGAUAAAGACUUCGGGAAUGUGGCUCUCUUCGGGGAGUGUUAUAGCCCGUUGUGUAAUACCCUGGCGGGGACUGAGGUUCGCGCAUCUGCAAGGAUGCUGGCGUAAUGGUCAUCAACGACCCGUCUUGAAACACGGACCAAGGAGUCGUCUUCGUAUGCGAGUGUUCGGGUGUCAAACCCCUACGCGUAAUGAAAGUGAACGCAGGUGAGAGCUUCGGCGCAUCAUCGACCGAUCCUGAUGUUCUCGGAUGGAUUUGAGUAAGAGCAUACGGGGCCGGACCCGAAAGAAGGUGAACUAUGCCUGUAUAGGGUGAAGCCAGAGGAAACUCUGGUGGAGGCUCGCAGCGGUUCUGACGUGCAAAUCGAUCGUCAAAUAUGGGCAUGGGGGCGAAAGACUAAUCGAACCUUCUAGUAGCUGGUUUCCGCCGAAGUUUCCCUCAGGAUAGCAGUGUUGAACUCAGUUUUAUGAGGUAAAGCGAAUGAUUAGGGACUCGGGGGCGCUAUUUAGCCUUCAUCCAUUCUCAAACUUUAAAUAUGUAAGAAGCUCUUGUUGCUUAAUUGAACGUGAGCAUUCGAAUGUAUCAACACUAGUGGGCCAUUUUUGGUAAGCAGAACUGGCGAUGCGGGAUGAACCGAACGCGAGGUUAAGGUGCCAGAGUAGACGCUCAUCAGACACCACAAAAGGUGUUAGUACAUCUUGACAGCAGGACGGUGGCCAUGGAAGUCGGAAUCCGCUAAGGACUGUGUAACAACUCACCUGCCGAAUGUACUAGCCCUGAAAAUGGAUGGCGCUCAAGCGUCUCACCCAUACCUCGCCCUCAGGGUAGAAACGAUGCCCUGAGGAGUAGGCGGACGUGGAGGUCAGUGACGAAGCCUAGGG